rnacentral:misc_RNA from 1 species
CUAUUCUCACGAACUGCACUAUUUCGUGCACGCAUUACUCUUUACAUCAUUCUUCUGAAUCGGACAAAUAAAUUGUUCUGGUUGUGUCCUAGUAAUUCAACUGAUGAACCGAACUUUUACAAAAGAGAAAGGAUACACACGAAUCAGAAGUUGAUUUAACUGGCGAUUUUCCCUUGAAUCUCUUGAAGUAAUGACCUACUUUCAAGAGCUUCUUCUCUUAAAGGACAUGCGAUAAUUGUGUUACCUGCGUGUUAUUUAGGUAGCUCUCUCCUCAGCCAUGUGGUUGCGAUAUUGGAGCUACUUAACCAACUUCAAGUGGACCUUCGCUCUAGGAAUUCUUCUAAUUUUGGCUAACAGUCUACAAGUUUGCUCCAACAGCCACACCAGCCUAGACUUCGAAAUUUCAGCAAAUACUUUGUCAACCACAAAGAAAGUAGUUGAUCAUUUUGGUCGAACAAAUGACUCGUACAAGGAAGCCAACAAUUCCAAAGAAUUUAAUAACAAACACACAACGCGUCCCUUACGAACUCGACGCAGUGUCCUACAACUGGCUAACGUGUUGAAGUGUGUCACAGGUUGCGAUCCUCUAACUUACAAAGGAUACGGAUGUUACUGUGGUUAUAUGGGAAGAGGAAAUCCAGUGGACGGAAUUGAUAAGUGCUGCUUAGAACACGACUGGUGCUAUACCUAUUCUGCUUGUCAUCAGCUCCUCGUUUAUUUUGUUUCUUACCGAUUUCAAUGUGCUGCUCCUGGAAAAGCUCACUGUAGAGGCGAUGACUAUACUGUUGACGGUGAAUGUGCUGCCCAGCUUUGUAAAUGUGACAUAGCCUUCGCUUACUGCGUAAGUAAGUAUUCUUGUCCCUCGCAUCGUGCCUCAUGUCAGUCUUCAUCGCCAUCAAUCACAAUUACAUUCCACAACGUAGUGAAGGUCACAAGCAACAUAAAUGGGAAAUAACCCUCCAUAAUAGCUACCUGUGAUAAGAAACCUAAAGGUAUUAUGUCGAUAGUAGCACAGUGAUUUUUUUCCUCUAAUAAUUUAUGACGAUGGUAAAGUAGCAGAUUACAGCCUUUAUUCCAGAGUCACUUCGCAUUAUUCAAGUUGUAGAAUCUGUUUGAAGAUUCUAAGUUAUUGGUGUGAAACUAGGUAAAACUGACAUAUGGAUAUUAUCUCAAACAAAACUUGUGAAAAUGAUGUGGUAGCAUUCCUGUAACCACUGACUCGUUCACCACGAAAAAUAGCAAAAUUGCUAUUAUAUAGCUGAUCCACAAACUUCAAAAUAUUAAUCCAUAAAAUUAAUUGAUAAGAUAGCAAAAAAUGGAAGAGAAAAGUUUUUAAUGUAAAUGCAUUAUAAGAAUUUUACUAGGAUAUUAGUUCAGUUUCAAGAUACUCGGGGAAUUCUUACAGAUAUUCAUUUUAUCAUACUCCUUUGGAUGUUCACUUGUUGGAGUCAUGUAAAUCUAUACCUCACAUAUUGAAGAUCCAUUAAAAACAAAAAAACUGUGUUGGAAGCUUCAUAUUAUAAGCAGCAACAAAUUAUUAAUGGAGGCCUUUAAUCGCCAACCAUUGUUUACAUCUUCGGGCCAAGACACCAUCUCCAGUGAAACACGUACAAAAACAGAAGUUACAACUUCCAUCCAGGGCAACAUCUUCAGUGAAACACGUACAAAAGUCUAAGUACAAGACGGUGAUUGUAAAAUCUAAAAUAAAAAUAUCUGCUACAAGUCCAACCUAUAGUCAGGAUUUUGUAUUAGGAAGAAAAAGAAAAAAAAACUUGUAAAUAGACUAAACUGAGCCAUUUUUUUCGUAUCUAUUCGACUUUAAAUUUUCUUUUUCAAGAUCUCUAUGGUCAUAUACGAAUGAUUGUUAUAGUAUAUUAUCUUCUCACAUUAAAAAGCUGGUCUGUCACGCAGCAACGUUUUUUUUGUUGUAAGGAUUAUAAUUAUAAUUAGUAGGCUGCUGAGCAUAAAGAUUAGAUUAGAUAAGCUUCGUAGCUUUUAGGCUACUGAACAUAGCGAUUGGAGUAGAUAAGCUUCGUAGUUUGUAGGUUACUGAACAAAGCGAUUGGAUUAGAUAAGCUUCGUAGUUUGUAGGUUACUGAACAAAGCGAUUGGAUUAGAUAAGCUUCGUAGCUUGUAGGCUACUGAACAAAGCGAUUGGAUUAGAUAAGCUUCGUAGUUUGUAGGUUACUGAACAAAGCGAUUGGAUUAGAUAAGCUUCGUAGUUUGUAGGCUACUGAACAUAGCGAUUGGAGUAGAUAAGCUUCGUAGCUUGAAGGCUGCUGAACAUAGUUAGGGGUUAGCUAAGAUUUAAAAGCAAGAUAAUCCCAAUUGCUUGGUUUUAGAUAGCACAGUAAUAUAUUAAUAUUUCCGCUCAUUACUUCUUUAUUUUUCUGAAGUUCACACUGUGAAGUUGACAGUGAAGUUGGUUGCAUAUUUGUAAAGACAACUAGCCUGGUUCUACACAAAUUAAACUCGAACAGUUGUACUUAUUUUUAAGUGAAAACAUAAGAAAGGCCCACGUUUCUUGAACAAUAGUUAGGACAAACUGGUAUACAAAGAUAUAAAAUAAAGAAGUUCUAGUGAACGAAAAGUUCCAAAGUUUGUCCAACGAGACGACUGUUCGUAAAGAUAAGAUUAAGUCAAGGGUUUGAGUCUUGAAAAACCACAUAUAGCUAAGUGAAUCGGGGUCUUAGUUCUUUUUAUGUUUAGUUCAUACUACAACAUCUGUAUACGGUAAGUAACAGCGAGUUGUUGCCAUUUGUAUAGAUGUAUAGUUUCCUAUCAGUCUUAUUCACUGUUCGUGUAUCGACAUGACUUAUAAGUACAACCAGAAUUCGUAAACAACUCUCAACCGUUUAUUCUGUGAACGUAUAUUUCAGAAGAAUCACAACAAACAGUGACGUCAUAUUUAUUUGCUACAUAUAAUAGCUUCAGUGUUUAAAGCCUUCUCUUCAGUUUGGUAACGGAGAUUUCUAUGUGUAGUAAGUAAUACCAGACAAUUUUGGGUUUGCAGACACAAGUCCAUAUCCACUUUUUGUACUCGGUAAAUGUGUAACAUAACUCUGUACUAUUCGAGAAUAAUAUGACCUAAGAUACUGCUGAAACUUUCUGUAGUUUCUAACAUAUAGUCUGAUGUAAUUGUCCCACUGUGGGUCAGCGAUAAGUUGACGAUUUACAAUGAUAAAAUCCGAAGUUCGAUUCCCUGCAGUGGACACGACGCAUAUAUAGCCCAUUCUGUAGCUUUUCGUUAAAAACAGCAAGAACCAGGAUGUGAUUAAUUAAUAGCAUUGGGGCUUUAUAAUGUUCCUAAAGAUCAAUACGCGGGUGACAACUCUCCGACUGUAUCUAUAAUGUGUUCUAGAAGUAGUUAGACUAAGCUGAACUUAGCAUUAUGAAGCUAUGACUUGUAAAUAUUGGAUUCUCCUCAUUGUACUCACGCACUCAAAAUAUUUGAGCAAAUUUUAAAUGGCACUAGUUAAAACAUGGAAAGAACACUAAGCUAUACAAACCAACUCUGAAUAAGUGACUUUUUGGAACUUUUUUACGUUCAAUUAUAUUUAUUUUAAUAGAAAUUUUCCCGAUUGACAAAACUUUCAUCUUCUGGGAAAACAUUCAAUAAAUUGGGUUUUUGCGCUAAAAAACCCAUAACAAGGCCAAAAACGAAUGUUUGUAACUGCCAUCAAAUACCAGAUUCUUUUUACUAUAAUUAUUUUAAACAGAUUUGUUGAAUGGCUUGUAUCCGUUUAUCUCCUAUGAUGUAAGUAAAAAGUCUUUAUUAAAAAAAUGUAACAAUGCUUCUUUAACAGGGUGUAUAUACCGAACACAUUUCUUUCAUAUUAGGUAAAUUACUAUUUGUGCUGUUUCUAAUAUUUAGUAUGAUUGUUAGCCUAAAAUAAGUUUAUGUUUCAUAAAGCUGUCCAGUGGAAUUACUAUAUUAAUGCCAAAACUGAAGUCCUAUUUAAAGAAGGUCCAAUUUUAUAUCAUAAAAUGAUGUCAGAUUUGUAACCACAUUUUGUAUGUCAGAAAACAAUAAAUUUUGCGUCUAAGAAGAGAACAAAUAAAGUUAUGAAGAUAUUAAUAAACAGUUCAUUUGUUACAUGAGUUUACGUGCACAUUGUUUCAAAUAAAGUUAUGAAGAUAUUAAUAAACAGUUCAUUUGUUACAUGAGUUUACGUGCACAUUGUUUUGAAUAUUGUUCUGUUCAUAAGUGUUGAAAGUAUAGAUUUUUUCAUUAUUGAACUUGUAUUAUUCAUUCUCUGCUUUACAUGCGAUAUUCUUGUAAGAUACAUGCUUAAAUUGUAACACUUUUAAUUAAAACUUUGGAAAUCAUGUCAUUUGUAUU